AACCUUGUUCAGAGUAGGAUUCUGCAUGGAUGUCAGCUAAGAUUCCAGAAUGACUACUAUCUUGACUUACACUUUUAAAAAUCUUCCCACUACAUCAAAAUGGGCCCUGAGAUUUUCCAUAAGACCUAUGAGCUGUUCCUCCCAGCUGUGAGCUGCCCUAGCCGUCCAGACCAAAAUGAAGACGUUAGCCAAACCAAAUACAAGUAAUGUGGUGGUGUAUGGUGUUCGAACUCCAUUUUUGCUUCAUAUAAAGACCUGAUGCCACAUGAUUUGGCUAAAGCAGCACUUAUGGGUUUGAUGCAUUGGACCAGUGUCCCUAAAGAAGUAGUUGAUUCUAUCAUCUUUGGCACAGUUAUUCAGGAAGUGAAAACUAGCCAUGUGGCUAGAAAGGCUGCCCUUGGAGCUGGCUUCUCUGACAAGACUCCUGCUUGCACUGUCACCAUGGCUUAUAUCUCUGCCAACCAAGCCAUGACCACAGGUGUUGGAUUUAUUGCUUCGGGCCAGUGUGAUGUGAUCAUGGCAAGUGGUGACAAGUUGAUGUCUGAUGUCUCUAUUCGUCGCUCAAGGAAAAUGAGAUAACUGCUGCUUGAUCUCAACAAGGCCAAAUCUGUGGGCCAGCGACUAUCUUCAAUCUCUAAAUUCCGAUUGAAUUUCCUAGCACCUGAGCUCCCUGCAGUUACUGAGUUCUCUACCAGUGACACCAUGGACCACUCUGCGGACCGAGUGGCCACUGCCUUUGCUGUUUCUCAGCUGAAACAGGAUGAAUACACACUCUCACAGUCUGGCCAAGAAGGCACAGGAUGAAGGACUCCUUUCUGAUGUCGUACCCUUAAAAGUACCAGGAAAAGAUACGGUUACCAAAGAUAAUGGCAUCUGUCCUUCCUCACUGGAACAGGUGGCCAAACUAACACCUGCAUUCAGCAAGCCCUGCAGCACAGUGGCAGCUGCAAAUUCUUCUUUCUUGACUGAUGGCACCUCUGCAAUGUUGAUUAUGGCAGAGGAAAAGGCUCUGGCCGUGUGUGAUAAGCCAAAGGCAUAUUUGAGGGAUUUUAUGUUUGUGUCUCAGGAUCCAAAAGAUCAACUAUUACUUGGACCAAUGUAUGCUACUCCGAAAGUUCUAGAAAAGGCAAGAUUAACUAUGAAUGAUAUUGAUGCUUUUGAAUUUCAUGACGCUUUCUCCGGCCAGAUUUUGGCAAAUUUUAAAUCCUUGGAUUCUGAUUGGUUUGCACAAAACUACAUAGGUAGAAAAACCAAGGUUGGAUUGCCUCCUUUGGAGAAGUUUCAUAACUGGGGUGGAUCUCUGUCCCUGGGACACCCGUUUGGAGCCAUUGGCUACAGGUUGGUCAUGGCAGCUGCCAACGUAAGGAAGGAAGGAGGCCAGUAUGGAUUAGUGGCUGCCUGAGCAGCUGGAGGAUGGGGCCAUGCUAUGAUAGUGGAAAUGUAUCCAAAAUAA